AUGAAGUUGCCUGGUAGACUGUUGGUGCUGUUGUUCUGGAUUCCUGCUUCCAGCAGUGAUGUUGUUCUGACCCAAACUCCAGUUUCCCUGCCUGUCAGCCUUGGAGAUCAAGCCGCUAUCUCCUGCAGGUCUAGUCAGAGCAUUGUGCACAGUGAUGGAAACACCUAUUUGUAUUGGUACCUGCAGAAGCCAGGCCAGUCUCCACAGCUCCUGAUCUAUGAGGUUUCCAAUAGAUAUUCUGGGGUCCCAGAAAGGUUCAGUGGCAGUGGGUCAAGGACAGAUUUCACACUCAAGAUCAGCAGAGUGGAGCCUGAGUAUUUGGGAGUUUAUUACUGCUUACAAGCGUUGAAGACCUGUAGUCUCAUAGCCAAUCCU